rnacentral:lncRNA from 1 species
GCUAGGCCUUUGCCUGCUUCGCAUUCCCGAACCUGGUGGAAUGUCCCCAGGAGUGCACUGCUUGGGGAGCACCUCUGCGUGCACCCACUGUGGUAGGGUCCCCCUAAACCGGCCGUGACAGUCAGGCCAUAUAGAGCCCAUUACUGGUGGAUGGGGAGGUGGAGGCUUGGACCUGCAAAGAGAAGCCAGUUGGAAGUGGCCGGAGCCCUGAGUCCAGGCCUCCCGAGCUCCGACCUGCCUGACUUACGUGCUGGGGGCUGUGGUUGGGGAAGAAAUGGCGAGAAGGCCACCCCUGUGCCCUGAGCCUUUUUCAGCCACGAGGGAAGUAGAGUGGGUUUUGGUGCUGCUUCUCAGUGCCCCCCAUGCUCACCUCAGCUGAGGCAGGAGAAGAGGACCCCAGUCCUGUGCCUGGAGCCAGCCUGCUAAUCACAUUAGAUAGGAGUGGGGGAGCUGCACCCCCAACUCCCUUCACUGCUUAGGGUGGUGGAUUAGAAAUUCCUCAAUUAGGAACUUCUCACACCGUUUUCUUUGUGGGGUGCAGGUGGUAAAUUUUCUCUACCCCACACUCCAUCCUCUCUUUGGCUGUCAGCUUCUUAGGUCUUGCCAGCGCUAUCAGCCACAUCUUAUUUAUUUUUUGUAUAAAAAGCUGGGAGAAGCUGAGCGAUUUGCCCAGGUCGCACAGCCAGCCAGUGAGGAGGAGACAAAGAUAACGUCAGUAACAGCAAACAUCGCCGGAAGAAGGCUGUCUGCAGUUGCUGGACCUGAGGCAGGUCAGAUGGCGGUUCGUUGUACUAUUUCAAACUUUUCCCCAAAUUUGAAGUGAUUCCAAAAUAAGCAUGUAAAGAAAAACUUGACUGGAUGCUGGCCCAAGGCUGGUAGACGAUGAGGGAAGUGGGGUGGCUUGACGGCAUUGGGGUGAGGUGACUGAGGGUUUGGGUCUUGGGCUGCCACUCAGAUGGAGUGGUAGGCAGCCCCGAUUCCAGCAGAGAGAGCAGGGAAGGAGAGGAUGGGGCAUUCUUGUUUCAGAUCAGAUGUGGCCGUUUGGAGUGUUCUUUGUGGACUUGGCUGUGGUCUGACCUGAUUUUACGCUCACCCUGUGACUGCCACCCAGACUCCAGCCCAGCUUUGAAGACCAGCUGGGGUGGGUUUCUGGGGAGGUCUCGGACCUCCCAGGGCCUGUUUGAGCCCUGGCCAGUGGAGAGUCAGGUUGAGGGUCUUUCAGUUCUUCACUUUCUUUUUGCAGUACUAGGGAUUAAACGCAGGGCCUUCAUACUGAACUACAUCCCCAACCCUUUUUAAUUUGAUGGUUUGUUUUUGGUACUGGGGAUCGAACUUGGGACCUUGCGCUUGCCAGGCAGGCAUCGGAACCACUGAGCUAAGUCCCUGGCCCUCCCUUUUUAAUUUGAGGUAACAUCUUGUUAAGUGGCCAGGUUGCUGAGACUGAGCUCCAACUUUCCAUCCUCCUGCCUCAGCCCCCCACCGUGCUGGGAUUAUAAAUGACCACUAUGCCUAGCUCUUUCAUUUAUUUUUCUUGCUGUACUGAGGAUGGAACCCAGAUCUUUGCCCAUGCUAGGCAAGCACUCUAUCAUUGAACUACAUUUCCAGCCCCAGGGCCAGGAUCCUUACCACACUUGCUGCCCGAAGAGGCCUGGUAUCUCGGGGAAAAAGUUGAGGCUGUCAAGUGCCACCCACUAAAGCUCCUUGCCACCUGUCCCAGGCCACAGAUACACUGUAUCCAUCAUUGCAGCUGAGGGACCUCAUGAGCUAAUGUAAGAGAUGGACCCAUAGCCAAGAAAAAAAGCAGAAAGACCAAAAAUGCCCUAAUUCAGCUCAUAUCCCUUACUAACAGUUGUCCACAUUUCUGAGCUGAGAGAGUUCUAACCUGCAGCUCCCCAGAUAAAAACCUGCCGUGUCUGGAGGCAGGCUAGGCUGGGACUGAGGAUCAGACCUCGCUCACCCACUUACUAGGCAUAUGUUGACCUUCUAAGCCUCAGUUUGCUCAUCUCUAAAGUGGGUUCACUCCCAGUACUGGGUUGGUUUCGUUGUCCGGUUUGAGCCGGCAAGCUCCCUGGGUGCCUAACCAGGUGGGGCCCUCCACAAAAGUUGCAGCAAAAGUGAUGGCUGUAAUUAUGGUGCUCAUUAGCACAUGACUCACAGACCCCUCCGGCUAGUCCAGGCCUCUCCCAGGGCCUCUGGAAUUUUAUGCUCACUCCCUCUGGCUGGAGCGGAAUCCUCACACAAGGAUCUCAACCUGAGGCGGGUGUGGUGGUGCACACCUGUGGUCCCAGGGCUCUGGACGCCUGAGGCAGGAGGAUCGCAAGCUGGGAGUCCCAUCUGGGCAAUUUAGGGAGACUUUGACUCAUGUUUUAGUCUUCUCCUUUUCUGUAUAAUAGCUAGGAUGAAAAUGCUUUAAUUUUGAGUGUUUGAUUCAUUGAGCUUUCACAAAAUGAACAUACCAGCCCUGUAACCACAGCAGCCUCAAUUAAGCUCGGCUCCUUCCCAGCUCUCUGAGGCUCCCCUCAGCUCCCUGCUGGUCACCUCCUAGCCUCA